GCUUGCAUAAAUGAUUUUUGGAUUCGGAGCGAGUGGCGAACUGGUGAGUAACACGUGGGUAACCUGCCCCGAAGCGGGGGAUAACAUUUGGAAACAAGUGCUAAUACCGCAUAAUUAGUUGGAACCGCAUGGUUCCAACUUGAAAGAUGGCUCUGCUAUCACUUUGGGAUGGACCCGCGCCGUAUUAGUUAGUUGGUGAGAUAAAAGCCCACCAAGACGAUGAUACGUAGCCGACCUGAGAGGGUAAUCGGCCACAUUGGGACUGAGACACGGCCCAGACUCCUACGGGAGGCAGCAGUAGGGAAUCUUCCACAAUGGACGAAAGUCUGAUGGAGCAACGCCGCGUGAGUGAUGAAGGUUUUCGGAUCGUAAAACUCUGUUGUUAAAGAAGAACAAGUGUUAGAGUAACUGUUAACACUUUGACGGUAUUUAACCAGAAAGCCACGGCUAACUACGUGCCAGCAGCCGCGGUAAUACGUAGGUGGCAAGCGUUGUCCGGAUUUAUUGGGCGUAAAGCGAGCGCAGGCGGUUUUGUAAGUCUGCUGUGAAAGCCCUCAGCUCAACUGAGGAAGUGCAGUGGAAACUACAAAACUUGAGUACAGAAGAGGAAAGUGGAACUCCAUGUGUAGCGGUGAAAUGCGUAGAUAUAUGGAAGAACACCAGUGGCGAAGGCGGCUUUCUGGUCUGUUACUGACGCUGAGGCUCGAAAGCAUGGGUAGCGAACAGGAUUAGAUACCCUGGUAGUCCAUGCCGUAAACGAUGAAUACUAGGUGGUUGGAAGGGUUUCCGCCCUUCAGUGCCGCAGCUAACGCAUUAAGUAUUCCGCCUGGGGAGUACGACCGCAAGGUUGAAACUCAAAGGAAUUGACGGGGGCCCGCACAAGUGGUGGAGCAUGUGGUUUAAUUCGAUGCUACGCGAAGAACCUUACCAGCUCUUGACAUCUUCUGCCAACCCAAGAGAUUGGGCGUUCCCUUCGGGGACAGAAUGACAGGUGGUGCAUGGUUGUCGUCAGCUCGUGUCGUGAGAUGUUGGGUUAAGUCCCGCAACGAGCGCAACCCUUAUUAUUAGUUGCCAGCAUUUAGUUGGGCACUCUAGUGAGACUGCCGGUGAUAAACCGGAGGAAGGUGGGGACGACGUCAAAUCAUCAUGCCCCUUAUGAGCUGGGCUACACACGUGCUACAAUGGAUGGUACAACGAGUCGCGAAACCGCGAGGUCAAGCUAAUCUCUUAAAGCCAUUCUCAGUUCGGAUUGCAGGCUGCAACUCGCCUGCAUGAAGUUGGAAUCACUAGUAAUCGUGGAUCAGCAUGCCACGGUGAAUACGUUCCCGGGCCUUGUACACACCGCCCGUCACACCAUGAGAGUUUGUAACACCC
rnacentral:rRNA from 1 species